GACGAACGCUGGCGGCGUGCUUAACACAUGCAAGUCGAACGGAAAGGCCCUGCUUGCAGGGUACUCGAGUGGCGCACGGGUGAGUAACACGUGGGUGAUCUGCCCUGCACUUCGGGAUAAGCCUGGGAAACUGGGUCUAAUACCGGAUAGGAGCCCUUUUUAGUGUGAUGGUUGGAAAGUUUUUUCGGUGUAGGAUGAGCUCGCGGCCUAUCAGCUUGUUGGUGGGGUAAUGGCCUACCAAGGCGGCGACGGGUAGCCGGCCUGCGAGGGUGGACGGCCACAGUGGGACUGAGAUACGGCCCAGACUCCGACGGGGGGGAGCAGGGGGGAAUAUUGCACAAUGGGCGCAAGCCUGAUGCAGCGACGCCGCGGGGGGGAUGACGGCCUUCGGGUUGGAAAAUCCUUUCGCUAGGGACGAAGCUUUUUGUGACGGUACCUAGAUAAGAAGCACCGGCUAACUACGUG
rnacentral:rRNA from 1 species